rnacentral:piRNA from 1 species
UGUACACAGCCAUCUUCAUCAGUGCAA